GUGUCAGCCGCCGCGGUAAAACGUAGGAGGCGAGCGUUAUCCGGAGUUACUGGGCGUAAAGCGCGUGUAGGUGGUUGGAUACGUCUGCUGUGAAAUGUCCCGGCUUAACCGGGAGGGUGCGGCAGAUACGGUCUGACUUGAGGGUGACAGAGGAGCGUAGAAUUCCGGGUGUAGUGGUGAAAUGCGUAGAGAUCCGGAGGAAUACCAGUGGCGCAAGCGGCGCUCUGGGUCACAUCUGACACUGAGACGCGAAGGCAUGGGGAGCGAACGGGAUUAGAUACCCGCGUAGUCC
rnacentral:rRNA from 1 species